GGUUAAGUUAACAAGGGCGCAUGGUGAAUGCCUUGGCACUAGGAGCCGAUGAAGGACGGGACUAACACCGAUAUGCUUCGGGGAGCUGUACGUAAGCUAUGAUCCGGAGAUUUCCGAAUGGGGCAACCCAGCAGUUUUAAUCAACUGUUACCACUAGAUGAAUUCAUAGUCUAGUUGGAGGUAAACGCUGUGAACUGAAACAUCUCAUUAGCAGCAGGAAUAUAAAGAAAUUUCGAUUCCCUAAGUAGCGGCGAGCGAACGGGGAACAGCCCAAACCAAAGUGCUUGCACUUUGGGGUUGUAGGACUGAACAUUUGAGUUACCAAAGAACUUGAUAGUCGAAGGAUUUGGGAAAAUCCGCCAUAGAUGGUGAUAGCCCAGUAGAUUAAAUCAAAUUCUCUCAGUUCAGGAUCCUGAGUACGGCGGAACACGUGAAAUUCCGUCGGAAUCCGGGAGGACCAUCUCCCAAGGCUAAAUACUACCUAGUGACCGAUAGUGAACCAGUACCGUGAGGGAAAGGUGAAAAGCACCCCGGGAGGGGAGUGAAAUAGUUCCUGAAACCAUGUGCCUACAAUAAGUCAGAGCGCGUUAAUGCGUGAUGGCGUGCCUUUUGUAGAAUGAACCGGCGAGUUAUGAUCCCGUGCAAGGUUAAGACUAAAAAGUCGGAGCCGUAGCGAAAGCGAGUCUGAAAUGGGCGUUUUGAGUACGAGGUUAUAGACCCGAAACCAGGUGACCUAUCCAUGUCCAGGUUGAAGGUGCGGUAAAACGCACUGGAGGACCGAACCCGUGUAAGUUGAAAAUUGCUGGGAUGAGGUGUGGAUAGCGGUGAAAUUCCAAACGAACUUGGAGAUAGCUGGUUCUCUCCGAAAUAGCUUUAGGGCUAGCCUCGGAAUUAGGAUCAUGGAGGUAGAGCACUAUUUGGACUAGGGGCCCGUCUUGGGUUACUGAAUUCAGAUAAACUCCGAAUGCCAUUGAUUCAUAUCCGGGAGUCAGACGAUGAGUGAUAAGAUCCACCGUCGAAAGGGGAACAGCCCAGACCAUCAGUUAAGGUCCCUAAAUGUAUGCUAAGUGGAAAAGGAUGUGGAGUUGCAUAGACAACUAGGAUGUUGGCUCAGAAGCAGCCACCAUUUAAAGAGUGCGUAAUAGCUCACUAGUCGAGUGAUCCUGCGCCGAAAAUGUACCGGGGCUAAGCAUAUUACCGAAACCAUGGAUGCGACCAUUAGGUCGCGUGAUAGGAGAGCGUUCUAAGGGCGGUGAAGCAAGAUCGUGAGGACUUGUGGAGCGCUUAGAAGUGAGAAUGCCGGUAUGAGUAGCGAAAGAUAGGUGAGAAUCCUAUCCACCGAAUGACUAAGGUUUCCUGGGGAAGGCUCGUCCUCCCAGGGUUAGUCGGGACCUAAGUCGAGGCCGAGAGGUGUAGACGAUGGAUAACAGGUUGAGAUUCCUGUACUAGUUAAGUGCGUUUGAGCAAUGGAGGGACGCAGGAGGCUAAGAUGUGCAUUCUGUUGGAUUAGAAUGUCCAAGCAGUAAGUCUUGUGAAGAGUCAAAUGCUUUUCACUUUAAGGACAAGCUGUGAUGGGGAGCGAAAUUUAGUAGCGAAGCGUCUGAUGUCACACUGCCGAGAAAAGCUUCUAGUGAGUACUUAACUACCCGUACCGCAAACCGACACAGGUAGUCGAGGAGAGAAUCCUAAGGUGAGCGAGUGAACUCUCGUUAAGGAACUCGGCAAAAUGACCCCGUAACUUCGGGAGAAGGGGUGCUGAUCGCAAGAUCAGCCGCAGUGAAUAGGCCCAGGCGACUGUUUAUCAAAAACACAGGUCUCUGCAAAAUCGUAAGAUGACGUAUAGGGGCUGACGCCUGCCCGGUGCUGGAAGGUUAAAAGGAUGGGUUAGCUUCGGCGAAGCUCAGAAUUGAAGCCCCAGUAAACGGCGGCCGUAACUAUAACGGUCCUAAGGUAGCGAAAUUCCUUGUCGGGUAAGUUCCGACCCGCACGAAAGGCGUAACGAUCUGGGCACUGUCUCAACGAGAGACUCGGUGAAAUUAUAUUGUCCGUGAAGAUGCGGACUACCCGCGACAGGACGGAAAGACCCCAUGGAGCUUUACUGUAGCUUGAUAUUGAGUGUUUGUACAGCUUGUACAGGAUAGGUAGGAGCCAUAGAAACCGGAACGCUAGUUUCGGUGGAGGCGUUGGUGGGAUACUACCCUCGCUGUAUGACCACUCUAACCCGCACCACUAAUCGUGGUGGGAGACAGUGUCAGGUGGGCAGUUUGACUGGGGCGGUCGCCUCCUAAAAAGUAACGGAGGCGCCCAAAGGUUCCCUCAGAAUGGUUGGAAAUCAUUCGCAGAGUGUAAAGGCACAAGGGAGCUUGACUGCGAGACAGACAGGUCGAGCAGGGACGAAAGUCGGGCUUAGUGAUCCGGUGGUACCGUAUGGAAGGGCCAUCGCUCAACGGAUAAAAGCUACCCUGGGGAUAACAGGCUUAUCUCCCCCAAGAGUCCACAUCGACGGGGAGGUUUGGCACCUCGAUGUCGGCUCAUCGCAUCCUGGGGCUGUAGUCGGUCCCAAGGGUUGGGCUGUUCGCCCAUUAAAGCGGUACGCGAGCUGGGUUCAGAACGUCGUGAGACAGUUCGGUCCCUAUCCGUCGCGGGCGUAGGAAAUUUGAGAGGACCUGUCCUUAGUACGAGAGGACCGGGAUGGACAUACCUCUGGUGUACCAGUUGUGCCGCCAGGCGCAUCGCUGGGUAGCUACGUAUGGAUGUGAUAAACGCUGAAAGCAUCUAAGUGUGAAACACACCUCGAGAUGAGAUUUCCCAUUCCUUUAUGGAAGUAAGACCCCUGAAAGAUGAUCAGGUAGAUAGGUUAGAAGUGGCAGUGCGGUGACGCAUGAAGCGGACUAAUACUAAUCGGUCGAGGACUUAACCAA
rnacentral:rRNA from 1 species